GAUGAACGCUAGCUACAGGCUUAACACAUGCAAGUCGAGGGGUAACGAGAGGAAAGCUUGCUUUCCUUGUCGACGACCGGCGCACGGGUGAGUAACGCGUAUCCAACCUGCCCCCAACUAGGGAAUAACCUUGCGAAAGUAAGACUAAUACCCUAUAAUUUCCUCAGAUGUCAUCUGACGAGGAAUAAAGAUUUAUCGGUUGUGGAUGAGGAUGCGUCUGAUUAGCUUGUUGGUGGGGUAACGGCCCACCAAGGCAACGAUCAGUAGGGGUUCUGAGAGGAAGGUCCCCCACAUUGGAACUGAGACACGGUCCAAACUCCUACGGGAGGCAGCAGUGAGGAAUAUUGGUCAAUGGGCGGAAGCCUGAACCAGCCAAGUAGCGUGCAGGAUGACGGCCCUAUGGGUUGUAAACUGCUUUUAUACAGGAAUAAAGUUAGCCACGUGUGGUUAUUUGUAGGUACUGUAUGAAUAAGGACCGGCUAAUUCCGUGCCAGCAGCCGCCGUAA
rnacentral:rRNA from 1 species